rnacentral:misc_RNA from 1 species
CUGGGUCUGAGCCUCGCGCUCGCUACCCGUCCUUUGUCAUGAGACGCGCAAGCAACUCACAUCGCUUCGGCCUCGGGCGAUGCCCCCUAUUUAGUUGGGGGGCGGAUCCCGCGGUCGGCCUUACAAACCCACGCGGAAUUUUGAAGUCUGAUCAAUUGAUAAACGAAAAGCA